rnacentral:rRNA from 1 species
UACGAAGGGGGCUAGCGUUGUUCGGAAUCACUGGGCGUAAAGGGCGCGUAGGCGGCCGAUCAAGUCGGGGGUGAAAGCCUGUGGCUCAACCACAGAAUUGCCUUCGAUACUGUUUGGCUUGAGACCGGAAGAGGUAAGUGGAACUGCGAGUGUAGAGGUGAAAUUCGUAGAUAUUCGCAAGAACACCAGUGGCGAAGGCGGCUUACUGGACACAUAUUGACGCUGAGGUGCGAAAGCGUGGGGAGCAAACAGG